UAUCUCUGUAGAGUCUGCAUAUCAAUAAGCGGAGGAAAAGAAACUAACUAGGAUUCCCUCAGUAACGGCGAGUGAAGCGGGAAGAGCUCAAAUUUGAAAUCUUCAAGGUUCUACCUUGACGAAUUGUAGUUUAAAGAAGUGUUUUCUGUUGGAGUUUUGGUAAAAGUUCUUUGGAAUAGGACAUCAUAGAGGGUGAGAAUCCCGUAUUUGACCAUUACUUUCCAGCUUUGUGAUACACUUUCAAAGAGUCGGAUUGUUUGGGAAUGCAGUCCAAAAUGGGUGGUAAAUUUCAUCUAAAGCUAAAUAUUGGCGAGAGACCGAUAGCGAACAAGUACCGUGAGGGAAAGAUGAGAAGAACUUUGAAAAGAGAGUUAAACAGUACGUGAAAUUGUCAAAAGGGAAGCGUUUGACACCAGUGUUGUUUUCUCGAAAGUCAAUUAAAAAAGGCAGGAUUUUGUGUUGUAUUGACUUUAUCAGCUUUCUGCACUCUUUUCUUGUCUUUUUUAAUGCACUUUUCGUUUAACAAGUCAACAUUAAUUUCUUUUGUUGUAAAAGGGUCAUUGGAAGGUGGCUUUCUUUUCGGAUGAAAGUGUUUAUAGCCUUUGGCCUCUGCAAUCGGAGAGAUUGAGGUCUGCAGCGUAGAUCCUUCGGGGCUAGAUACGUAGAUGCUAAGUUAUAGUUUUUUAUAGACAACUUGUUGACUAUAAUUAAUCAUGUAGCUUACUCGUUUGCGCUAUUUUACCUACGCUUAGGAUGUUGACGAUCAGCUGAGCGCG
rnacentral:rRNA from 1 species